rnacentral:rRNA from 1 species
AGCGAACGCUGGCGGCAGGCCUAACACAUGCAAGUCGAACGAACUCUUCGGAGUUAGUGGCGGACGGGUGAGUAACACAUGGGAACGUGCCUUUAGGUUCGGAAUAACUCAGGGAAACUUGUGCUAAUACCGAAUGUGCCCUUCGGGGGAAAGAUUUAUCGCCUUUAGAGCGGCCCGCGUCUGAUUAGCUAGUUGGUGAGGUAAAGGCUCACCAAGGCGACGAUCAGUAGCUGGUCUGAGAGGAUGAUCAGCCACAUUGGGACUGAGACACGGCCCAAACUCCUACGGGAGGCAGCAGUGGGGAAUCUUGCGCAAUGGGCGAAAGCCUGACGCAGCCAUGCCGCGUGAAUGAUGAAGGUCUUAGGAUUGUAAAAUUCUUUCACCGGGGACGAUAAUGACGGUACCCGGAGAAGAAGCCCCGGCUAACUUCGU